GGGUCCGUAGCUCAAUGUUAGAGCACCCCGAUGGCAUCGGGGAGGUUGGGGGUUCAAAUCCCUCUAGGCCCA
rnacentral:tRNA from 1 species